rfam:Schistosoma mattheei strain Denwood, Zambia genome assembly, scaffold: SMTD_scaffold0000821
AGCCUUCUUUAUCCGUACUGAGAUUUCGUCACACACCAGACCACAAAUGUUGAUGAAAUUCCCAAGAUAAGUGAAGCG